UCAAAUAUGGAACGCUUCACGAUUUUGCAUGUCAUCCUUGCGCAGAGUCAAUGCUAAUGUUCUCUGUAUCAUUCUAAUUUCAAGUAUUUGUACCGUCGAAGCGAGUAG
rnacentral:snRNA from 1 species